GACGAACGCUGGCGGCGUGCCUAAUACAUGCAAGUAGAACGCUGAAGGAGGAGCUUGCUCUUCUGGCUGAGUUGCGAACGGGUGAGUAACGCGUAGGUAACCUGCCUGGUAGCGUGGGAUAACUAUUGGAAACGAUAGCUAAUACCGCAUAAGAGUAGAUGUUGCAUGACAUUUACUUAAAAGGUGCAAUUUCAUCACUACCAGAUGGACCUGCGUUGUAUUAGCUAGUUGGUGGGGUAACGGCUUACCAAGGCGACGAUACAUAGCCGACCUGAGAGGGUGAUCGGCCACACUGGGACUGAGGCACGGCCCAGACUCCUACGGGAGGCAGCAGUAGGGAAUCUUCGGCAAUGGACGGAAGUCUGACCGAGCAACGCCGCGUGAGUGAAGAAGGUUUUCGGAUCGUAAAGCUCUGUUGUAAGAGAAGAACGAGUGUGAGAGUGGAAAGUUCACACUGUGACGGUAUCUUACCAGAAAGGGACGGCUAACUACGUG
rnacentral:rRNA from 1 species